AUCUCACGAGAAAUAGGUACCCAAUAUUUUUUUUCAUCACAUCUGGUUUAAUUUUGAAAAAGUCGUUGAAAUUCGAGAUUCAAAUAGAGUUUUUUUUUUUUUUUUAAUUUAUAUCAAUGAUGGGAGAGUCUCCGACGUAAUUACAAGAUGCACAAUUGUAGGUGAUCUAAUAAAACUCAUUGUUAUGCAACUGAUUCAUAUGCCAACAGGUGUGCCCCAAAGGUCAAAAAAUUACGCCAAAUCCGCUCAUUACUUUCAAUUAUAUUUGUUGUAUCUUCACUACAAAUUGUGCAAUGUUAAAAAAAUAUGUUCUAUCUUAUAACUAGAGAGAAAAAUUGCAUCUCAGAUUUGAGAACCUGAAACAUUUUGAAUUUUUUUUUGUACAAAUUACCUAAGAAUAACCUUCUUAAGAGAGAUGACAUUUAUUCAUAACUCAAAAAUUUGACUUUUUGCUUCAGACCAAAAUAGUAUCUAUAAAAUAUCAAAAAAAAAUCUAUUACCUACUCGCUCUAGAGUUCUAUUCAAAACUUUGCCAAAAAGUAGCCUAAACUGAGUUUUAUGAUUUUGGGGUGUGAAUAAAUUGCCGAAACAGAAAGUUAUUGCUGUGCAUCGAAAAUAGACGAUAUUUCUGAUUUAGUUCCCCGAAGGUUUACAAAGAGAAACCGUAGAAAGCAUUUUAAAUUAGUUUUGUUGACGAAAUCUUGAGCACAGGUCCAGAUUUUUGCUCAAUUAGAGUAAUUGUAUCUCCAAGAUUUUUUUGGAAAAAGUUUCAUUGCCACGCACUUUUAUUCGAGUGGAACGGCACGCAAUCCUCGACCUUGCUUUGCCCAUCUGAACGGUUUAACUAAACCAGUUUCCCGAUAAACCGUUCAUCACUUGAAUUUAUGUGAUUUUUUUGCGGAACUGAGUCAAAAUGCCACCGUGAUAUUUCCCGAUCAUCCUGUAUAUUUAAUAAGACGCAAAUCAUUCUUCAAGAAUUAAAUAUCUGGAUUCCAUGAAAGCGUCAAGGCCUUCACAUUCCGUGUCAUAAAUCACAUAAAUAUCACUGAUGACUUUUGUUACCUGCUGUUUUCAUCCAGUGAAGAAAAAAGUGGCUAUUGUUGACGGCGAGACUUUAGUCAAGCAUCAAUGAACUUGGAAAUUGCCGCGAUGUGGCCUUCAUAAUAUUUAAUAUCUGUUCCAAAUUGCAAUUUGAGUUGAUCUUCGCAAAGCCGGAAUUACAUUUUUUUGGGUCAGCGUUGAAAAUGAAAGGCUUUUUACA